GCGGACCACUUGGAAUGCCUCCAGGGACCACCAGUGGUCCGCGGACCACCGGUUAAGAACCACUGACUUAGAGAAAGAAAAAAAGUAGGUAGUACCUAAAGUAGGUUCUUACUUAAUUAAAUACAUCAGUCAAAACAAACAAACACAAUUAAAUACCUACCUACAAUAGUGUAGGUACCUACAUACAUUAUUACCUGUAAUGAAAUGAUUAGCUUGUAACACCUACCUACUGUUACACGAAUAUUGUAAUUAGCUACAAAACAGCAUUUAAAUUGUAUUAUAACUCGGGUAACGCGUACGCGAAUCCCGAAGGCUAUGUCUCGGCUUGUUCAGCCUCGAUAGAACAUGGGAACGACUAAUUGCCGGGCUGACAAGCGCGUGCGAUUGGCAGCUCGUAGGCACGCGUGUGUGACAGAUCAAAGCUCCACUAAUUAAUAUCACCUAUCAAUGUCCCCAACAGAACAUUGCUGCCUCUGCAAAUGAGAAAAUUUUCCAACAAAAAUCGAACGAGCGACAGCAGUUGUAUGGCUAGAUAAGUAGGUACAUUAUGCCUGUCUAUAUUUUCAGGAAGCGUGUCAGAAUUUGAUCACAAAAUAAAGAUUACAAAACGUCAUAGCUUGUCACCUAAAACCAAAGCUUAAAACAUGGAAUUUUUCCUUGCAAGCAAACUGAUGGGGAACGGACUGAACGUAGGUACUUACCUAAUAUAUUUCCAGACAUUUCUGUUUUGCUGCUACGAAUACGGCAUGAAGGAAGAGAAUUACUAUUAUCCAGCCAAUGUUCCAAUCGAAUGCCUCCGGAGACAACGCAGAUUGUGACGGAAAUUUGUUUCAAACGUCAUUUCAAAAUGUAACCACCCACCCUGCCACGUCGACACUGCAAGAAAAAUAGUAAUUUCCUUACUCGCCAUAGGAGUGCCGAUGCUUUAGCAAUAACAUUCGAUACGACUGUUGCUUUCUACGAAAUGUACAUGACGUGUGUAAACUCAGAGAUUCCUUCAAUGAAGUUUGCAACAGACGAUCUUAAAAGCUUCGUAAACUAUCCAUCCAAAACGACGGUGGGGUUUGCACCGAAAUUUACAAGUAACCGUAGGUUUUUUGCAAAUAUGGUAAGCCAUCCAGAAUUCAGAAAUACGCUUGCUAGAGAUGAAGAGGAACUCAGAGCGGCCAUGAUAAGGAAGAUGAGAUAUUGUGACUCAGUUGUAAUGGAUCAAGAAUUGCUACAACCCAUGUAUGAAAGAGAAGUGGACCAGUCGAAAAUAUAGACCUAUUUUGAUGAGCAAA